GUCACUUGAUUUUUCCUGCUCAAUUUAUAGGUUACUCAAAUGAAGCAGGAGCAUGACAAGAGGCAAGCAAGCCUCAUAGCUGAACACAACGAACAGCUAAAGCGUACCCAACUGCAAGCUGAAAAUGAAUUGAGAGAGAAAACAAUGUUUAUGAGGAAUGAUCAUGAAGCUCAGAUCAAAGCAUUGAGGUGUGAAUUUGAAGAUGAGUGUCGGAAGCUGGAAGAGGAGUUGCAUCUUCAAAAAAUCCAAAGAAGACAGGCAAAGGGCUUUGUUGCAGUUGCAGUGGAAAGUGAUGAGUGACAAGCCUAAAGAGGACCAAGAAGUGAAUUCAAAACAGGCACAGUUGGGGAAAUGAGAAGACAUUUGUUGUAUACCUAAAUGUGCUUCUUUAAUAUUCUUUCAACACAAGCCUGAGAAUUGUGAACUUAAAUACAUAGAAGGGUGAUGCAAAUAAAGGCCCACUGGUUCACAUAUGCAUAGUCUUCAUGCUAAAAUUGUCACUUAUGAAACAUGCAUAAUCUUGUUACUGAAGGCAUAACUAUUUACUAGCAUGAUAUUAGAUAAAUUUGAUUGGUACCACUUCUCAUAUCAUAGUUGUUUCAAAAUUUAAGUUGAAAAGAUUUUUAUUGAUGAUUUUUGCACAUCACAAAGGGAAGGGUGAAGACAGUGCUCUGAAGGCUUCAUGUCAUAGCAGCAGAAAUAGUGUGUGUGUGUCUUUAAUUGAUAGACAUUGGUUUGGUUGUGAUUUGGUAUCUGUUACUUUAAUCAUGCUUCUUUUCAAGCUCCUUACUAUCUUAAAGAUGAACACUAUAGAAAGUAACUACACUUACUAUUUAGUGGUUUCAUGAGUGUAAGGAUAUUCCAAUUGCAAUUUGUUUUUUUAUUCUGA